rnacentral:rRNA from 1 species
UGGGGAAUAUUGCACAAUGGGCGAAAGCCUGAUGCAGCAACGCCGCGUGAGCGAUGAAGGCCUUCGGGUCGUAAAGCUCUGUCCUCAAGGAAGAUAAUGACGGUACUUGAGGAGGAAGCCCCGGCUAACUACGUGCCAGCAGCCGCGGUAAUACGUAGGGGGCGAGCGUUAUCCGGAAUUAUUGGGCGUAAAGAGUACGUAGGCGGGAGCUUAAGCACAGGGUUUAAGGCAAUGGCUUAACCACUGUAUGCCUUGUGAACUGAGCUUCUUGAGUGCAGGAGGGGAAAGCGGAAUUCCUAGUGUAGCGGUGAAAUGCGUAGAUAUUAGGAGGAACACCAGUGGCGAAGGCGGCUUUCUGGACUGUAACUGACGCUGAGGUACGAAAGUGUGGGGAGCAAACAGG